GAGAGGGGAGGAGGCAAGAGGGGCUUGUGUGAGGUAGGAGGUGGCUGUGGUGGUCUAGGGGCUGCAGCCUUGGGCUGGAGCUCGCCUGGCUUACUCUCUGUCCAUGCCACAGCCAGCUUUGCCUGGAGGAGAGCAUCUCUGCCAGUAGCUGUGCCACCGCCCCCAUCCUGGGUGCCCCAGCCUCAGGGGGAAGGAGCCCAGAGGGGUGCACGCAGGGGAAGGGCUGGUCUGGAGGCUGUGCUCAUCUGGCGUUUUUCUUUGGGAAGUAUCUGUUUCUAGGGGUGGUAAGGAAGGGCCAGAAGGUGCUGGCGGUGGCUCAGGGCACAGCGUCCGCCAGCGGAGGAGCUGUUUGCGGUAGGAGGCUGCUGCCAGGCUGCAGGCUCUGCCUGGGAGACUGCUCGGGACCUCGGGGCCGUGCUGAGGCUGCAGACCGAUGCUCUGUUGUCAGCAGCGGGGGCUCUCCCUGCUGCCUCGGCAUGAAAAACCUUUCAGCAACCACUGGACUUGAGCCGCCCCAGCCUGCCAGGAGCAGAAGCACAAACCGGGCAGCAGGAGGUGAUUUCCCAGCUGGACGGCCGUGA
rnacentral:lncRNA from 1 species